rnacentral:misc_RNA from 1 species
AACGCACAUUGCACCCUCUGGUAUUCUGGGGGGUAUGCCUGUUCGAGCGCCAUUGCAACCCUCAAGCAUUGCUUGGUAUUGGAUGCCACCGUGUUGGUGCAUCUCAAAAGUAUUGGUGGUGGCAUUCAGCUUCUAGCGUAGUAAAUCUUCUCGCAUUGGAGUUAGAGUGUCUGAUUGCCAGAACCCCUAAAUUUAUUAAAGGUUGACCUCGGAUCAGGUGGGGAUACCCGCUGAACUUAA